rnacentral:rRNA from 1 species
AGAGUGAACGCUGGCGGUAGGCCUAACACAUGCAAGUCGAACGGCAGCACAGUAAGAGCUUGCUCUUAUGGGUGGCGAGUGGCGGACGGGUGAGGAAUACAUCGGAAUCUACCUUUUCGUGGGGGAUAACGUAGGGAAACUUACGCUAAUACCGCAUAAGACCUUCGGGUGAAAGCCGGGGACCUUCGGGGCCUGGCGCGGAUAGAUGAGCCGAUGUCGGAUUAGCUUGUUGGCGGGGUAAAAGCCCACCAAGGCGACGAUCCGUAGCUGGUCUGAGAGGAUGAUCAGCCACACUGGAACUGAGACACGGUCCAGACUCCUACGGGAGGCAGCAGUGGGGAAUAUGGACAAUGGGCGCAAGCCUGAUCCAGCCAUACCGCGUGGGUGAAGAAGGCCGUUCGGUUAGUAAGUCCCGUUUUAGUUCGGAAGAAUCCUGCCGAUUAAUACUACAGUAGG